AGGAACCUGAUCUUCUACUGAACUUGAAUUUUCAAUUUUCUCUCCCUUGUCUUCCAUCUCUUUAGUUUCUGGCCCUUUGCUUUCUUCCACAGCCUCUUUAAUUUCCAUUCCUCGACUCUCCUCUGCACUUUCCUUCUCUUCACUUUUGUUUUCUUGGCUCUCUUCAUUUGCCUUAUCUUGGUUUUCUGUUUCUUUGCUCUCUUCAUUCUCCUUAUUCUCAUCAGGA
rnacentral:misc_RNA from 1 species